rnacentral:rRNA from 1 species
CCAAGCUACAAAGAGCCAACGGUGGAUGCCUUGGCGCCAAUGACCGAUGAAGGACGUGGGUGACUGCGAAAUGCUACGAGGAGCCGUCUACCAGGCUUUGAUCCGUAGAUAUCCGAAUGAGGAAACUCGGCACCCGUAAUGGGGUGUCACUCUGGAGUGAAUACAUAGCUCCAGUGGAGGGAACCGGGGGAAUUGAAACAUCUCAGUACCCCGAGGAAAGUAAAGCAAACGCGACUCCCUUAGUAGCGGCGAGCGAAAAGGGAAGAGACCAAACCGUGUCGGUGUAAUAUCCUGAUGGAGUUGCCGACGCGGGGUUGUGGGACGUUUAGACACCGCAUCAGAGGUGUCACGAAGUUAACAAGUUGCUGCGUAGUGGAACAGUUUCGGAAAAGCUGGCCAUAGUGGGUAAAAGCCCCGUACGCGAAACGCACGCAACCUUCGAAACCAAUCCCAAGUAAUGCCGGGACCGAGCAAACUGGCAUGAAUCUGUGGGGACCACCCCAUAAGUCUAAGUAUUUAUUGGCGACCGAUAGUGAACCAGUACCGUGAGGGAAAGGUGAAAAGAACCCCGGGAGGGGAGUGAAAUAGUACCUGAAACCGUUGGUUUACAAACAGUCAGAGUGUCGUCAUGAUUUAUCAUGGCCACGAUGGCGUGCCUUUUGAAGAAUGAGCCUGCGAGUUAUGGUAUGUGGCAAGGUUAACCAGAGAUGGGAAGCCGGAGCGAAAGCGAGUCUGAAUAGGGCGUGUAGUCGCAUGCUAUAGACCCGAAGCGAAGUGAUCUAUCCAUGGGCAGGUUGAAGCGGGGGUAAGACCCCGUGGAGGACCGAACCCACGUCAGUUGAAAAUGGCGGGGAUGACCUGUGGAUAGGGGUGAAAGGCCAAUCAAACUUCGCGAUAGCUGGUUCUCCUCGAAAUGCAUUUAGGUGCAGCGUCGUGCGUUCAGUACCGGAGGUAGAGCACUGGAUGGGCUAGGGGUCCUACAAGAUUACCGAACCCAGCCAAACUCCGAAUGCCGGUACUCCAGAGCACGGCAGUGAGACCACGGGGGAUGAGCUUCGUUGGUCGAAAGGGAAACAGCCCAGAUCGUCAGCUAAGGCCCCUAAUUCUGUACUAAGUGGAAAACGAUGUGAAAUUGCAUAGACAGCCAGGAGGUUGGCUCAGAAGCAGCCACCCUUAAAAGAGUGCGUAACAGCUCACUGGUCGAGUGAUUUUGCGCGGACAAUUCAACGGGGCUCAAGUACAGAGCCGAAGCUACGGGAUUCAUCGCAAGAUGGAUCGGUAGAGGAGCGUUGAUGGUGCAUUGAAGCGGCGGGAUGACCCGACGUGGAGUUCCAUCAAGUGAGAAUGCAGGCAUGAGUAGCGAGAGAGGGGUGAGAAACCCCUCCGCCGUAAAUCCAAGGUUUCCUGGGGAAGGCUAAUCCUCCCAGGGUAAGUCGGGAGCUAAGGUGAGGCCGAAAGGCGUAAUCGAUGCACAACUGGUUGAUAUUCCAGUACCACCGUGUUCGCGUCAAGUCCAAUAUUGGUGACGUGGGGGCUGCCUUCGGGCGAACCCACCUAGCUGGUGGCGGAUAACUAAUGGAGGACGCAGAAGGGUAGGUUAACCGGGGCAAUGGUAGUCCCCGGGUAAGCGAGUAGGGCGAUUCGAUGAAAGUUGAGUCAUAAAGCCUGAGACGUGAUGCCGAGUCGUUUAGACGAAGUAACUGAUCCCACACUGCCAAGAAAAGUCCAGUAGUGAGUUAACACGGUGCCCGUACCCCAAACCGACACAGGUGGAUGAGUAGAGAAUACUAAGGCGAUCGGGAGAACUAUGGUUAAGGAACUCGGCAAAUUACAUCCGUAACUUCGGGAGAAGGAUGACCCAUUUUGGUGGAGAACUAUACGUUCCGAGCUGAAGUGGGUGGCACAGACCAGGGGGUAGCGACUGUUUACCAAAAACACAGCAGCGUGCGAAGCCGCAAGGCGCUGUAUACGCUGUGACGCCUGCCCAAUGCUGGAAGGUCACGGGGAACGGUUAGUCGUAAGACGAAGCUGUGAACCUAAGCCCCAGUGAAUGGCGGCCGUAACUAUAACGGUCCUAAGGUAGCGAAAUUCCUUGUCGGGUAAGUUCCGACCU